CAAGCAAGCCAGGAAACAGAGUGGGAUCCAAUUUUACUGUCUCAGGAGGCACCACAAUCCCAGUUGGUCAUCACAAAGAUUGCUCAAAAGACGCUUCAAAUAAAUGAACGAUACUAAAGGUAGACAAUGACAUAAAGGAACGAACAGACGCUAUUUCAUAGUCUGUGCAGAAUGAAAUAUGUGGGAAGAAGGCUAUGUGUCCACUGCCUUUACCAUGGACGUUCAGGGCUACACAAUCCUCCCAAUGGCUCAGCUGUGCUUGCAAAAGAACCCUUUCCCUAAAUGCCUGAAAAGUCAGCCUGAGGACUAACAGGAACCUUUCCCUGAGUGUCUUCAUGUCUCCGUGCAUACUGUAGAACUGCUUUGUGGGUAAAGCCACUCUCUGUGUAGCAAGAGUGGGCCAGGAAGAGGCGUUGCUCCCAACAGCUCUUGCCUAGAGUUCCCUGUUAUUUCCAGAAAAGUCUGAAGGCCACCCAAGGCAUGGCUGGCUCCGGUCAGUCUGUGGCCUCUAGAGGGUUUGAAGCUGUGUUUGUCAGGUGGUAUAGAACCAUACUUUAUGCUGUCACUAUGGCAUAUGUGAAAUUGAAAACCAGGUCCCUGAAUUUGAGAAGACAGUACAGUGUGACUCUGAAUGAAACUUGCUCCAUGGGUUGGGGGUUAAUCCUCUUGGAGCAUCUCUGUACCUUGAAACAAAUGAGAGAAACUUCCUCGAACCCCAGGAAACCCGACUGUAAAAAAAUAGUUUAUUUGACCCAUGGGGACAGCGUUGUUAUUUGGGGCCAGCAUCGCCCAGGAGUGCAGUGUCCUGUGAAAGCAUGAAGCCUGUUCUUUCCUUGUUCCUGCUGACCGGCUAGUUGCCCUGGACUGCUGUGUAUUGAUCAUGGGGUGUGAUUGUACUCUGUGCCCUGCAGCUCUUCUGCCACUGACCGUGUCAUCCCUGCUUGUCAAACAGCCUGGCAGUGGGCAGUUUCGCUUCGUGAAUGGCUCUGUGUCUCUGGAGUUUAAGUCGUCCCCUGACCUGCUGUCUGAGCUUGCCCUCCGGCAGAGAGGCGUGAGGAGGAUGUGAAGGAGCCGGCUGCCGCUUGUGCACCUGUCAAGUAGCCUCCACCUCAGCCUUCUCAGCCCCACCUCAGCUGUAGGCCUGUGGCUGAGGCCUGUGAUAUCUAUGCUUGGACUCGUGCAGCUGCCUACGGACUUUCAGCCUUAAGGCCCUGCUUCCACUGUGGUGGAAGGAAGAGCCUAAGAGGUCUGGUGUCACUGCUGCUUGAAGCUCACCAGUGUUGCCACACUGUCCACAGGACAAAGUUCAGCUGGAUUGAUGUGAUACACAAGGCUCUGCUAAUCUAUUCCUGGUAGCUUGCGCUCCCUCCCCGGGUCUCCAAGCUCCUCUUAUGCCUGUCUCCACACCAGAACAUUUCCUCAGCACAUACCCUGACUAAAGCCUUCCAAUGUCUCCAUUUGAGGAAGGUCUUAUCCAUAUCUGGCCUUGGACAGGGUCCCACACUUGUUCUAGUACCUAAGUUCAAAGGUCUUCUCUUCCCUGGGAUUCAGAGCUACCUCUCCACCUACAGAUGGGCCACUUUGGCUGUCUGUGGCCUUAGGACCUCGGUGGGCCACUCAUGGGCAUACUUUGGGUCUGACACUGUGGUUGGCUGGUGCUCCAUGUUGCUGGCUAAAGGUAUGGAAAUGAAUGCGUCAUUUUAUGGGUGUGAGAGAAAACCCAGGUCUCAGAGAGGGUGGUUGUGAGAAAGAGAAGCAGCAAGAUGGGCUUAGAAAGAUGGGGCACCUGCCCCUAGAGGCCUUGUAGGUGUGGCCGCUGUGUCACAUGUGUGUCAGUAGGUGGCAAAGAGGAGAGAGGCCGUGUCUAUGUGUUCUGACCUGUGACCAUCUGACGUUCCUAGAAAAAAAGGCGAGCCUGAGCUGGCCAUCAGUCUAGCGCCAGGCAGGCUCAGAUGGGCUCCCAGAAUGGGGAGCAAGCCAGAAACUAGGAGAACUCUGCUUGAGACUGUGGACUCUGGGCAGGAGUGAGCCCAAGACAGAUGACCCUCACAAGGGGCCACUGGGCAGGCCCAGGUGAGGAGUGAGCUUAAGACACCCACCAGACCAGCACUAUGAAGCCCAUACAGGGAGCUAGCCUGAGAUGACCACCAGUCCAGACCAUGCCCAAGAUGACCCUCUGCCUGGCUCCAUAAGGCUUGUCUGAAGAGCAGACACUCCCUGCCCUGAAGGACGUCUUCUCCCUUCCUGCCUCUCCGGAAGCAAGCACGGAUCAUUUCAAAUGCAGAGAGAGGCCAAGGGGCCCUGGAUGGGUCUCCUAACUGGUUUCUCAGAGCCUCAGUGUCCUCAAUCUGCAAGGAUGGAGUUCUCUAACCAGCCUCAGCUCAGCACUCGCCCGUUCCUGGAAUGGCGAGGCCUUUACGAUGGCUUGAAAGGCAGACACGCGCUGCCCAAAGAGGCCAAAAGCAAACUCUGCCAAAGGCUGCCGGCUCUCUGCAGACCCAGAGCAAGGAUCCAGGAGCCCCUGUCACUCACGGUUGGAAACUUAGGGAAGGCAGUAGCCCUCUAUCGCUGGGAAGAAUGGGAUUCGCUGGUGAGGACCGUGCCUGCCCCUUUGCAUGCACACAGUCAGCCUCUCCAUUACCUCAGCCUCCCAGCUUUGGCCCUACUGCAUACACAGGGUCUCUCCGUUGCCUCAGCCUCAUGGUUUUGGGUCCAUUGCUUCCACUUGAACAGCACUUAGGAGGAGAGAGGGCGGAGACAACCCAAGACACUCUGCUUUUGAGGAAGGCUCUGGGUUCUGUUCGGACUUGGCCUUUUUAGGAGGCUCACGGGAUUACUCGCGUAGGACAAAAAACUCUGAAGUAACCUGUUCCAGACCCAGGUGACUCCCAGGGAGUAUCCUACAGGGGCAGGGUGAUCUGAGCACCAGACGAGGACCCUGCCUGCCACUAUAGAGAUGUUCACUGUAGUGGAUAUGGACUGUUCUAGACCCACCAACCACUGGGAACCAAUGACAGUUCCCAAGUCACGCAGCAUCCCAGGCAGACAAGUCUCCUGGGGCUCCAUUUUUAAUAUUUUGCCUUUUGUCUACCCGUGGGCUGAUCCUCCUUCUUGAGAGCCAAAAAAGAAGAAGCGGGUUAGCUGACGAGAGGGAGCUAAGCAGAUCUCUGCAACGGGGUAGGGGCUCCAGCAUUUGAGUCCCCAGCACAGGGACUGGCAAAGAGAGGCAGCAAGGACUCAAGUUCCAGAGAGAUGGCAUUAUAUGAAGAUGUCAUUCAAAGUCAGAGUGUGGUGGUGCACAGUCAAGCUCGGCUUCCUCACUGCGCAGAUGCUCCCUGCCUCUCACAUCUGACAGGCUCUUCAGGUAGAAAGCCUUGCCUCUCUCUCCCAAGGAUCGCCACUAACACCUACCUAGCAGAGAGCCUGACCUGAGUGGUCACGAAGCUAACUUUCGUGUGUCCCACCAAAUGUGAACAUAAAUAAAAUCUCAUGUAAAACACGAAUCUUUCUGAUCAAAGGGUACCACUGCAGAUGGUCUGGGUGCUAUGUGACUCGGUCUGUGUCUCAAAUUAUUCCUUUCUAAUAUAUCUAAAAGGGGGAAAAAUAAUUUCAGCCAGGCUUGGCUCAUACCUGUAGUCUCGGCACCUCACAGUUUGAAGCAGGAGGAUAGUUGAGAGUCUGAGGCCAGCCUGAGCUAGCCUAAGCUAUACAGUGAAUUCUGGGCUAGGCCAGUCUAAAUUAUGAUAGGCGAGUUCUUUAAAAACAUUAAAUGAGAAGACAAGGCAGGGAUCGAAAGUUUAAGGCUAACCUGGGCAACUUUACCAAUCCCAUAAAUAAAAAAAAGUCUCAAUUUUAAAACAUGUCAGACUCUGUAAUUCUUUGGAG
rnacentral:sRNA from 1 species